UACAGGACGUCCAGCGUUGUUCGGAUUCACUGGGCGUAAAGGGUGCGUAGGCGGUCGGGUAAGUCUGAUGUGAAAUCUCACAGCUUAACUGUGAAACUGCAUUGGAUACUAUCCGGCUCGAGGAAUGGAGGGAGACUGGAAUACUUGGUGUAGCAGUGAAAUUCGUAGAUAUCAGGAGGAACACCAGUGGCGAAGGCGGCUUUCUGGACGGUAACUGACGCUGAGGCGCGAAAGCUAGGGUAGCAAACGGG
rnacentral:rRNA from 1 species